UACAGAGGGUGCGAGCGUUAAUCGGAAUUACUGGGCGUAAAGCGCGCGUAGGCGGCUUUUUCAAGUCGAUUGUGAAAUCCCCGGGCUUAACCUGGGAACUGCAGUCGAGACUGUCUAGCUAGAGUAUGGGAGAGGGAAGUGGAAUUUCAGGUGUAGCGGUGAAAUGCGUAGAUAUCUGAAGGAACAUCAGUGGCGAAAGCGACUUCCUGGACCAAUACUGACGCUCAUGUGCGAAAGCGUGGGGAGCAAACAGGG
rnacentral:rRNA from 1 species